GAUGAACGCUGGCGGCGUGCUUAACACAUGCAAGUCGAACGGAAAGGCUCCUGUUUGCCGGGGUGCUCGAGUGGCGAACGGGUGAGUAACACGUGAGUGAUCUGCCCUGCACUUCGGGAUAAGUCCAGGAAACUGGGUCUAAUACCGGAUAGGAGGUUGUGCUGGAUGGUGGUGGGGAGAGUUUUUCGGCGGUGUGGGAGCGAGUGGCGGCUUAUCAUGUUGUUGGUGGGGUGGUGGCCUACGAAGGCGUCGGCGGGUAGCCGGCCUGGGAGGGUGGACGGCGACAUUGGGACUGAGAGACGGCCCAGACUCCUACGGGAGGCAGCAGUGGGGAAUAUUGCACAAUGGGCGCAAGCCUGAUGCAGCGACGCCGCGUGGGGGAUGACGGCCUUCGGGUUGUAAACUCCUUUCGCCAGGGACGAAGCGGGAGUGACGGUACCGGGAGAAGAAGCACCGGCUAACUACGUG
rnacentral:rRNA from 1 species